rnacentral:rRNA from 1 species
UGCCAGCCGCCGCGGUAAUACGUAGGGCGCAAGCGUUAUCCGGAAUUAUUGGGCGUAAAGAGCUUGUAGGCGGUUCGUCGCGUCUGGUGUGAAAGCCCAUCGCUUAACGGUGGGUCUGCGCCGGGUACGGGCGGGCUAGAGUGCAGUAGGGGAGACUGGAAUUCCCGGUGUAACGGUGGAAUGUGUAGAUAUCGGGAAGAACACCAAUGGCGAAGGCAGGUCUCUGGGCUGUUACUGACGCUGAGAAGCGAAAGCGUGGGGAGCGAACAGGAUUAGAUA